AUACGUAGGGGGCGAGCGUUGUCCGGAAUUAUUGGGCGUAAAGGGCGCGUAGGCGGCUUUGCAAGUCAGUAGUGGAAGUCCAUUUUUCAAGGAUGGAAGUGCUACAGAAACUGCGGAGCUUGAGUGCAGGAGAGGUUAUCGGAAUUCCCGGUGUAGCGGUGAAAUGCGUAGAGAUCGCGAGGAACACCAGUGGCGAAAGCGGGUAACUGGACUGCAACUGACGCUGAGGCGCGAAAGUGUGGGGAUCAAAAAGGAUUAGAUACCCUCGUAGUCCCCACUGUAAACGAUGAUUGCUAGGUGUAGGAGGUAUAUUCCCCUUCUGUGCCGCAGUAAACACAGUAAGCAUUCCGCCUGGGGCGUACGGUGGCAAGAUUAAAACUCAAAGAAAAUGACGGGG
rnacentral:rRNA from 1 species